rnacentral:lncRNA from 1 species
CUUCACCAAAGGAGUCCUUGAGACAUACGGCCACCAUGACAGGAAAUCUAUUGGAUGAAACUGGAAAGAGAGAAGCCAGAAAAAGAAAGACCAAAGCUUUGUUCCUGUAGGCGGGCACCAGGAAGCAUGGCUACUCUACUGAUGGCUGUAAGGGUGGAAUAGCCCCAGUAAAUAACACGAUCUUGGGGUUCAUGGUGUGUUCAGAUAUCCCGCAACAGCAAGUCAUUCAGACGAUCAGUGCUGCUCUCUUAGCAGGGGACACUCCUCAAGCAGGACUGGAUUAAUCCAUGGGAGCGAGCAGCUGAGCCGUGAGAAGCCAGAAAGCCUGAUGUGGUCCACCCCUUUCCCUGGAAUCACUCCUUUCCAUGUGGGCUGAAUGCCCACGUGCAGCUGUCUGAUCUCAGGAUUUCUAUCAUCCAGAGUAUUCUCUGGAAGCUCCAGCGGGGUUGGCCCAGCUCCUGGCUUCCUCUCCUGGCAACAGCCUCAGGUCUUUUUGAUGAAUUGAAUGAGAAGUGGAGCCCUCAGGUCCAGUCCUGAUCCUGCAGCAGGUGCUUGCUCAUGAAGCUUACACAGAACUCAUGUGACCACGAAGCCAAGGUGG